GGAUGCGAGAGUGAUCUGGCUGUGAUACAUCUGUCAUGCCAUUGGUGAUAGUUAAGGUAGAUUUGGUUGAAUCUGACUGGCUAGGACAUUGUCCCCUCCCCCACCACCAUGCAGUGUGUUCCCCCCAAAAUCUGCAGACUUGGUGGAAGAGUACGAUUUUUCCUGAAAGGGGACAGUUUUUUGGUCCAGGGUAUAUGAGUAGCUGUGCUCCCUGGUAGAACCUCCAAAAAAUUCUCAAACGUGUAAGUUCUUAGUGAGCUCAAUUUGAGGUUUAGUCAAGUAAUUUAUAGGUCUGAAAAGCAAGAGAUUGGGUGUGGCUGCUUU
rnacentral:snRNA from 1 species